AACGAACGCUGGCGGCAGGCCUAACACAUGCAAGUCGAGCGAGGACUUCGGUUCUAGCGGCGGACGGGUGAGUAACGCGUGGGAAUGUGCCCUUCUCUACGGAAUAGCCCUGGGAAACUGGGAGUAAUACCGUAUACGCCCUAUUGGGGAAAGAUUUAUCGGAGAAGGAUCAGCCCGCGUUGGAUUAGGUAGUUGGUGGGGUAAUGGCCUACCAAGCCGAGGAUCCAUAGCUGGUUUGAGAGGAUGAUCAGCCACACUGGGACUGAGACACGGCCCAGACUCCUACGGGAGGCAGCAGUGGGGAAUCUUAGACAAUGGGGGCGACCCUGAUCUAGCCAUGCCGCGUGAGUGAUGAAGGCCUUAGGGUUGUAAAGCUCUUUCAGCUGGGAAGAUAAUGACGGUACCAGCAGAAGAAGCCCCGGCUAACUCCGUG
rnacentral:rRNA from 1 species